CAACCUCGGCCCCACCAUGGCCCGACCUUCCCAACCCCAGCCCCGGAACCACUUCCGGGGCAAAGGAAGACCACAGAGCGCGGAGGCGCAGCCUAGAGCGCCGCCUGGCGGCGGAGCCGGUUCCGGCCGGCCUCCUCUCCGAAGCGCACCUCCCUGGAAGCCCUGGGGAAGAGUGGCUGGGGAAGAUUUGAGCAUUCGGGUAACGCUGUGGGUCAGACACCCUCCGAUGAUCACCUUUAAUCACAAGACACCGUUUCACAGUGCUCCCGAGGCUCCGAGAGAUGAAAUGGCUCGCGUGUCGAGAGCUUGUCGACUUGCCCUGCAUCCUACCACUUCAUGUUAUUCUGACAUCCGCAUACGUAAGAGAACAGAGCUCAUAUCUUUAGCCCGAACUGGAAUGUUAGCCCGUGGGUCAGUUCUGUUUCCUGCCAUGGCAUCCACCAUGCCGUAGCUGCAGCCGUACCCAGCCAUGGGUCGUUUUUCAAAAGCACUGAUAGCAGAAUUGUUAGGGUCUGAGUCUAUACACUGGCAACCCUAGCGAGCGAGGCUUGGCCACCUGUCUUCAAAACGCCGAUUAAACAGUCAAACAGAUAGUAAAAAGCAGGAAAAGAUUUAUUCAAUGGGGCCACACUGGGAAGAACGUAGAGGUCCAGUGACUCCCCAGCUCAUCUUCCAGGUCUAACAUGAGGAUAAGGCUUAAAUAGAAGACAAGAAGUGCGCAGUAAGGAAAUUGUGUUCCCUCACCCCUCACCAUUGUCCGAGCUCCAUUCUACAGGAUGGCCCACUUGACAAGUUGCAAAUCUUGGAUGUAGGAGACAAGCAAGUGCCGCCUUUCCCAAGAGCAGAAAAACAGACUUCAAAAUGAGAAGAGUUUUAAAGAAUUAGCUUCAUGCUGUUGACGAAAACAGUUCUUCAAGAAGACAUUACAGUUGUAUUAAUUUAUUGUUAUUUUGGAGACAGGCUCUCAUUGUGUAGCCCUGGCUGGCCUCUUUACAGAGAUCUGUCUGCCUCUGCCUCCCAAGUGCUGGAAGUAAAGCCAAUUCACAGGCUUCCUUCCUCCUAAAUAGGUCUUUGCAUCCUGCCAGGGGUUGAGGUGGAGCUCCCACCCAAACAUUCCAGACUCUUUGGGUAUAGGGACUCCGGUUCAAGUCUGACUGCAUCCUGCAGGCAUGUGGCAAUGUGGGGAAGAGGAGUCUGGAAUUGAUGAGCUCACAUUUGGCAAGAGGUGUGAAUGGAGGAGCAUCCAGUUAAUUAUCAUCCUGGAGACCUCAGGCCGGUUUCUUGAGGAAGCAAAGAAGGCAAGUUUCUAGGAAGAAAAUAGAUCAUUAACAUCUGCCCUAGUUGUACUGUAAAGAUGAAUGCACAGAGCAGAACAUCUUGGGACAUCUUGGAAAACCAGAGGGUGGAGGGUCCCAGCUGCUGGACAGACCAUGUAUCCUGAAUAGAUGCCUAUUUGAGAGAUGUCCAGCGUGGAUGUCCCAGGAGCUUGGCAGCUGAGGGGGUGUGAGGACCGCAGUAUGAACGGAGGAGAAGAAACCUCAGAAGAGAGAGAUCUUUGCUCUCAUAAGGUGUUUAGCAAACAUGCUAAGGCGACUGGGUGUCUAGUGGGUCACGACAUGCGACGCUGACCACUGGACUGAUGACAGAGGCAACCACACCCACCCAAGCUACGGCCCCAGAGCACAGGGGGUCUGCGGGAGCACACCAAACCAACCACACAGCAAUCAGCAACCUGAGGUAGGUCUCUUUACAGUACGAAAGACUUCUACACCAGUGAGGCCACUGGCUAGCAAGAGCUGCUGAGGGCCGCAGACUCUGCAGAGGAGACUGACAUGAGGAAGGAUGGACCCCACAAUCCUGAGCCCCGUCACUGAACUCUGGAGGUGUGGGAUCAGGCAAAAGAAAAUGCCACCUACAACAGCAGCAGUGGACCCCAGGGCUGGGAACCAACUGGCCGAAGAGCCGGAGCUCUGUGGUGGCCAGCGUUAGGAACCUGAAGCACGGGACACUGGGAACAGUCUGGAUCUGGUUUAGAAACAACAGCAGGAGGGGGAAGGCAGAAAGAAACUCUCCUCUCCGAGGAAUGCCGGGGUCCUCAUUCCUGAGAGGGAAAAGGGUGGGCUUGGCCCCACUGCUCUAACAUAAACGUAAGAGACACCAGGACAGGAAAGCAGGAGCCCUGAGAAUUCCCGGUGCUCUGCAAGGCCUCCCACGGCCCAGCUGCACUGGGUGCCCACCACAGAGCCCAAGGAGCAGGCCUGGAGGGACCACUGCUGCCACGUGUCCCCCGGACACCUCGAAAGCCCAGCCCCGUGAAACGACCAGCAGGAGAAGGAAACGCUGCCUUUCCCACAGCUAAGAGCAAACGGGACCUCUAGUGCAGUCGGCUGUACAAAACGAUAGAAAUGAAUGGGCACUGCUGUUAGACAGUGCUCGCUUUUAAUAGAAAAUAAACCGCUUACAUUUUUACUGUAAAUAUAGGCUAUGUACAGAAUUAUAUAUAGACAUAGCUACACAUAUAAAGCUUCAUUAUAGGCCACUGAUACAUUUAUAGUAAUGGUUCCCUGAACCUCUUAAGAGUGCAAUUAAGAACAAAAACUAAAUUUCAUUUACGUGAAUAGGGAAUAAAUACAAUAAUCAAAAUAUGAUUUUCCCUAAAAGUGAAACACACAGCUAGUCCUGAACUGUUGUGUGAGAGAUAAAACUGGGAAAGGCAAAGUUUCAGCAGGGCAGGAUGAGGGGUCCAAACCAGGAGAAUGGCGAUGCUCAGAGGAAGAGACUUCACCGAGGGAGGAGUUAACCCUUGACAGCCACCUUGUUCUCUGCCGCGGCGAACAUAGCAUAGAACCUCGAACUGUCGUUGGACAGAAGGACCGAUGGGGUGUCAAACUCCACCACCUGCAAAGAGGAGACGUGUCAGGGUGUGGCCGUGGGAGGGUCCCGUGGACUCGGGCUGGGCAAUGGUGGCAGGCCUCAAAGCCCUGGGGCGGAGCAGAGAACCCCUGAGCUGGCCUGCAGUACCCGGGAGUGAGGGGAGGGUGGAGAGACUGGCGUAUGCUUCCUCACCAACAACCCGAUUCUCUCAUCUGUGGGAAUAAAGAAAUCCAUCAGGA